UGAAGAGUCAAAUAGUGACAUAUAUAAAGGUAUGGUUAAAAUAUGUGUACAUUAACAUUGGGUAGAAACCAGAAAAUUCGUUGUCUGAAGAUAGAAAACAACGAUAACUUCGUCUCAAUCUCAAACUAGUAAAACACACAAGCAAGUAGAAAACAAAUGCUAGGCUUAACCACCGAUAAUAACUUGUUAUACGUGCAUACACACACCCAAAAAAAACAGAAAUGAAUCAUGAAGGCCAACAUAGAAGUCGAUCCAACAGGUACUUUAGCGGAGUUUUACUUCUUCAAGACAUUGUACAAAUAUGCUGCAAUUCCAAGAAUGAUGCACAACAAGAUGAUGUCGAUGCAAAAGUUGCGACUAGAUCUCAGCUGGUUAACUGUAUGCUUAAGCCUAACGUUGGUAUUCUUCAAGUCCGCGGUAGCCCUGUCCACCUUGGCGUCAAUCUCAUCCAUCAGAGGAACUUGUCUAUCCAACUCCUCGUUCAUAUCGCUGGCCAUGUUCUUCAAAGUAUCCAAUCCUUCUGCUAUGACAUCCAAACCUUGGUCCUGUCUCAUUUUUCGCAUUUCAUACUCUUGCCUGAAUUGACUUGACUCUUCAGUUUGUUGGAAAUAUUCAUUGUCAAAUUGUCCAUCUGAAUCAAAUUUAAUUUCCGUGCGAGAACCUGAAGCUCUCCAUCCUCCAGAUUGUUUGGGUGGAGCUGCAGAGCCAUCUGGUAUGGCAUUUAUUCUAUCUGGCAGUGCAAGAACCAAAUCAUUGCGGGCAGCAAGUUCUUCACCCGAAAGACCUUUGACCUUUCUCACAGCCAAUCUCUGCAAUUUCGGAACCUCUUCAAGUAACCUCGCUUUAGUCCUCCGAAUCUCAGCAUUGAUCGCCACAAUAGAUGCCCUAUUUUUCUCAAUAGAAGCUGUCUCCGCUUUCUGAAGAGCAGUUUCUAUGUCGGAUUCAACAGAAGAAUAGAGACGUGCGAAGGCAUCGUCGCCGGCAACGUUGGAAUCCUUCUGCUUGUCGAUGUCGUACUUGUCGUAUUUCUUACAGAUCGAGUCUACCCUUGUGAGAAUAUCAAUUACACUCAUUCUUCUUCUUCUUCUUCAACCUCUGUGAAGAUUGCAGUUUUCUCCGAUCAAGAAAUAGUACGGAAGAGGAAUUUUACUUUGCAGAUGGAAAAA
rnacentral:misc_RNA from 1 species